AGAUUAGGACGCAGACACACACAGAGGGAAGACCAUGUAAAGACAGAGAGAAGAUGGCCAUCUAUAAGCCAAGAAGAGAGGCCCCAGAAGAAAUGAACGCUGCUAAUACCUUGAUCCAGGGCUUCUUGCCUCCAGAAUGACUGGGGUGAUUGGUUUCGUGAAGAGGACCGCAAAGUUUUAGGUUCAUCAUCAAAUCAGAAUCCCUGAAGUGAGGCCUGAGUUUGGCGAUGGAGAUGUGCCCUGGGUGAUUCCAAUGAAGAGCCACUAUCAAGAACCACGGACUUAAAUGGCCAAUAGAGGUUCCCCACACCCACCAUCAAUAACUAUAUCUCCAAAAAGAAUGAAACACAAUAUGUGGCUACAGAGAACUUUUCAUAAACGCUACCCAUUAAUAAAUAUUAAAUCUUGUUUUGUGCCAAAUAUAUAUUUUACAUUAUCAAAGUGCUCAAGAAAUUUGGAGGAUACAGAAAAAUAAAAAUGCAUGUAUAUCUAAAAAGUCAUCACAAAGAGAAUCACUGUUCAUGUUUCUUCUUUCCAUUUUAUUUCAAUGCUUUGUCUUUUCUUUUUCUUUUCUUUU
rnacentral:lncRNA from 10 species